rnacentral:tRNA from 1 species
GGUCGGGUAGCUCCAAUCGGUAGAGCGGCGGUCUGAAGAGCCGCGCGAUGAAGGUUCGAAUCCUUCCCCGACCGCCA